rnacentral:rRNA from 1 species
CGUGUAGGCGGCCUCUUAAGUCUGAUGUGAAAGCCCGGGGCUUACCCCCGGAAGGGCAUUGGAAACUGGGAGGCUAGAGUACCGGAGGGGAAGGUGGAAUUCCUGGUGUAGCGGUGAAAUGCGUAGAUAUCAGGAGGAACACCGGUGGCGAAGGCGGCCUUCUGGACGGAUACUGACGCUGAGACGCGAAAGCGUGGGGAGCAAACAGGAUUAGAUACCCUGGUAGUCCACGCCGUAAACGAUGGGCACUAGGUGUUCGGGUAUUGACCCCCUGAGUGCCGCAGCUAACGCAUUAAGUGCCCCGCCUGGGGACUACGGCCGCAAGGUUAAA